ACGGGUGAGUAAUGUCUGGGAAACUGCCUGAUGGAGGGGGAUAACUACUGGAAACGGUAGCUAAUACCGCAUAACGUCGCAAGACCAAAGAGGGGGACCUUCGGGCCUCUUGCCAUCAGAUGUGCCCAGAUGGGAUUAGCUAGUAGGUGGGGUAACGGCUCACCUAGGCGACGAUCCCUAGCUGGUCUGAGAGGAUGACCAGCCACACUGGAACUGAGACACGGUCCAGACUCCUACGGGAGGCAGCAGUGGGGAAUAUUGCACAAUGGGCGCAAGCCUGAUGCAGCCAUGCCGCGUGUAUGAAGAAGGCCUUCGGGUUGUAAAGUACUUUCAGCGGGGAGGAAGGUGUUGUGGUUAAUAACCACAGCAAUUGACGUUACCCGCAGAAGAAGCACCGGCUAACUCCGUGCCAGCAGCCGCGGUAAUACGGAGGGUGCAAGCGUUAAUCGGAAUUACUGGGCGUAAAGCGCACGCAGGCGGUCUGUCAAGUCGGAUGUGAAAUCCCCGGGCUCAACCUGGGAACUGCAUUCGAAACUGGCAGGCUAGAGUCUUGUAGAGGGGGGUAGAAUUCCAGGUGUAGCG
rnacentral:rRNA from 1 species